rnacentral:sRNA from 1 species
UUGUCAGAUUACUGGAGACUGAAGUAUUCUGUUAUUUACAGAGCAGAUGCAGUACAGGUUUCUCUGAUGUAAGCUUCCCCAAACUGCUCUGACAAUGUGCCUCUAUAAUGAACUGGAGGGACCACUUCUAAGCAUAAAGUGUUAGCCAGUUUUUCAUGCCCAUUUCAUUCUAGUCUUCU